UGCGCGGUGCCCGCCGCGCCGGGGUGCCCCACUCCGGCUCUGCCCCCGCCGGCUGGCACCGCGCGCGGCUUGAGCCCCUGCCCCGGGGUCGGGCACCCGCCUGGCAAAGCCCCAAGGGCCUUAAAUCAAGCAAGACCCGGAGCAUCCGCGUAGGAACCGCGGGUUCAAGUGCUGUAUCUCCUCAGGGGCAGGACUCGGGCGUUUGCACAUGCACCUAUAUAGCCUGGUUUCCAGAGAUUUUAAGCACAUUCAUUGUUUCUAUGGCUGCUGAGCAACCCUGAAAUUUAAGCAUAUAUCUGAUCCUCACUUCUGCCAGGAUCCUGACAAGAUCUUAAGAAGACCACAGCAAUGAUAUCACACUGCACAAACAUUUUAUCUAAGAUGCUACUGUACCCUUGCUUGGCUGAAGAAUAGGAGAUGCUAACUUUGGAAAAAGUUUUGCUGCUUUAUGUAUACCAAUACAAUGUGGCAAAAAUUCCCCCAACCAGUGACAGUAGUAUAUAAUACUACUACAACAGCUACUGCUGCCUAAUUUCAUGUCAUGCUCUUCACAAUAAAUCUUACAGCACUUUACA
rnacentral:lncRNA from 1 species